rnacentral:ribozyme from 1 species
UGAAAGUUUUUUUUUUUUUUUUUUUUUUUUUUUUCCAUUU